GCCCAAACUCCUACGGGAGGCAGCAGUGGGGAAUAUUGCACAAUGGGCGCAAGCCUGAUGCAGCAACGCCGCGUGAGGGAAGAAGGCCUUCGGGUCGUAAACCUCUAUCGACAGGGACGAAGAAAAUGACGGUACCUGAGUAAGAAGCCCCGGCUAACUACG
rnacentral:rRNA from 1 species